ensembl:lncRNA
GCUACACAGAGAAACCCUGUCUUGAAAAACCAAAAAAAAAAAAAAAAAAUGUAUUAACUAGUUUCUCUUCAAUACUCUAUGACCAGAUCUUAUUUACAAGUAAGGACAUUGAGCAUAGAGAAGUAAUUUUGCAAGUUUGUCCAAGUGAUAGUCUGUGUUAGGUUCAAUUCUAGUUGUGAGAACCACAAAUUGUGUGUUUGUUUUUGGUCAUGUGUGCAUUCAUGCAAAGUUAAUUUAUAUUAGAAGACUUGUAAGGUUACAGUAAUAUAUCAAGUAAGAAGGUGGAGCCUCCCUCUUAAAGGGGAACUGAAAGCUGGGCACAUUGGCACAUAAUCAAAAUCCCAGCACUGAGAAGACCAAGGAAAGAAGAUUGUCACCUAGAUUGAAGUGUCAGACCAGUCCGGGUUACAAAGCAAGACCAUGUCUCCAAAAUAUGGAGGGAGGGGUAGGAAGAUAAUUCAGUAACGUGCUUGCAGGAAAGGGCUAGCAUGAAGACCUGAGUUUAGCACCCAGAGCCAAUGUAAAAAGCACCAUUUGUAAUCUCAGAGCUGGGGAAGGCAGGUUCCUGAUGAUUUCUGACCUGGCAGCCUAAUCUAAUUGGCAAACUCAAGAUCCCAGUGUCUUAUGAAAAAAGAUGGGAGGGCUGAAUGGUGCAGAGGGUAAGAGCACUUGUUGCUCCUGCAGAGGACCUGGGAUUGAUUGUUAGCAGCUAUAUGGUGGCUUAGUUCCAGGGAAUCCCACAGGCACAUGUGUGGUGCACACACAUGCAUUCAGGUAAAGUACUCAUAUGUAUAAAGUAAAAUAAAAAACAAACAGCAAAGCAAAAUUCCAGAAAAGAAAAGAAACAAGGUGGCUCCUAAAGAACAGUUCAGGAGUUUAAUCUCUCACAUACACUUCAGCGCUCGCGCACACACAACAAAAAACAUCUGUAAUAGAGACCAUCUUUCCCAAACAAUGCAGCAUGUGGUGAUAUUUUGUUUAUGCUAUAACAAAUAAAACUUGUCUAAAGAUCAGAGUGCAGAGCUAGCAACACUAGUUAGCAAUAAAGGCCAGAUAGUGGUGACACACCUUUAAUCUUAGCAAAGGAUCUCUGUUAAUUCAAGGUCACCCUGGGCUACACACAAAAUUGAUCCAGUCUAAAAGAGAAACAGCUCACACAAAAAUGAUCCUAGCACUUAGGAUCACAUACCUUUAAUCCCAGCACUGCAGAGGUGGAGACAGGAGUGAUAUGGCUGGACAGAGAGAGGAAUAUAAGGUGGGAGGAGACAGGACAGUGCAAUCUGAGCAGCUGUCAGUCUGAAGUUGCAGUCUGAGAAGGUAGUCUGAGGACAGGAUCACCCCUUUGGUCUGAGCAUUGGUAGAGGUGAAGAUGAUGGCGAGGGAACUGAGGAGAGAACUUGGCUCAGGAGGCUUGUCCUUGUGGAAAUAAGUUCCAGAGCACCAAUAAGAGCAGCACCAGAGAUGUGGCUGAGAAAAGCCACAUACCCCAAGUGUGUCAUGGGAUGUCAACUUCUCUAUUAGAAAGGCACAGUGGGACAGUGGAGGCUCCAUGGAAACAUAGGGUUAGAGGAUGAGCAGAGAGUUGACAACAGGCCUGGAGCUCAGAGAAUGAGUGGCCAGAUCUUUAGAAGAAUUGAUUGGCGCACACAUGGAUGGAAGUCUGAAUGCUGUUUCACCAUGGAGCUAUUCUCUGAAACUGUCUUUAUUUAUACCCAAGUCCUGAUGCUGAAGAAUGGGUAUUGAGACUAAUUUACAUGAUCAGAAUGCCUUCCUAC